rnacentral:rRNA from 1 species
UACAGAGGGGGCAAGCGUUGUUCGGAAUUACUGGGCGUAAAGGGCGCGUAGGCGGCCUGCUAAGUCGAACGUGAAAUCCCUGGGCUCAACCCCAGGAACUGCGUCCGAUACUGGUUGGCUUGAAUCCGGGAGAGGGACGUGGAAUUCCAGGUGUAGCGGUGAAAUGCGUAGAUAUCUGGAGGAACACCGGUGGCGAAGGCGACGUCCUGGACCGGCAUUGACGCUGAGGCGCGAAAGCCAGGGGAGCAAAGCGGG